GACGAACGCUGGCGGCGUGCUUAACACAUGCAAGUCGAACGGAAAGGCCCUGCUUUUUUGUGGUGCUCUAGUGGCUAACGGGUGAGUAACACUUGAGUACCCUGCCCUUGACUUUGGGAUAACUUCAGGCAACUGGGUCUAAUACCGGAUAGGAGCUCCUGCUGUAGGGUGUGGGAUGGUAUGUUUAGGCGGUUGGGGAUUGACUCGCGGCUCAUCAGCUCUCUGGUGGGGUAGUGGCUUACUAAGGCUUUGACGAGUAGCCGGCCUGAGAGGGAGGACUGCCACAUUGGGACUGAGAUGCGGCCCAGACUCCAACGGGAGGCAACAGUGGAGAAUAUUGCAAAAUGGGCGGAGGGAUAGUGUAACAACGCCGUGUGAGAGAUGACUGCCUUCGGGUAGGAAUCGGAUUUCGCCUGAGACGAAGCGUGAGUGACGGUAAUGGGUAAAGAAGCAACGGCUAACUACGUG
rnacentral:rRNA from 1 species